GACAGAAGAGAUAGUCUUCUUGGGGAAGAAGACCCCCUUUAUAUAGUGGGGGAAAGAAUCCAACCGUUACCCCCACUGUCAGCCUGAGCACAAUGGUUCUACCGCUGCCUGGUGCGGUACUACCGCUGCGUGGUGUGGUACUACCGCACGCACGGCGAUGGCGGAGGGAGGAACUACUACAUGGGGCAACGAGCGGUAGAACCGCCGGACCGGUACUACUGCACGCCCUUACGGUACUACCGCAGGGUUGUGUCCAACUGCCACGGAAGUAAAAAAAUUACUUCUGUGUCUACCUCCGUUGAGGCUACGGUUGUGCAAAAGUCCGUCGGCACAGUAGUACCGGACAUAGUUGCGGUACUACCGCCGGUGGGCGGUAGUAAAAAACUACGCCCGCUCAUACUAUCGUAGAUGUCCGUAAUCGAGGCUGGUGACAAC
rnacentral:lncRNA from 1 species